rnacentral:rRNA from 1 species
AUUGAACGCUGGCGGCAGGCCUAACACAUGCAAGUCGAGCGAGCGGCGGACGGUGGAGUAAUGUCUGGGAAACUGCCUGAUGGAGGGGGAUAACUACUGGAAACGGUAGCUAAUACCGCAUACCAUCAGCUGUGCCCAGAUUGGAUUAGCUAGUAGGUGGGGUAAUGGCUCACCUAGGCGACGAUACCUAGCUGGUCUGAGCGGAUGACCAGCCAAACUGGAACGUAGACACGGGCCAGACUCCUACGGGAGGCGGCAGUGGGGAAUAUUGCACAAUGGGCGAAAUCCGGAUGCAGCCAGGCCGCGGGGAUGAAGAAGGCCUUCGGGUGGUAAAGUACUUUCAGCGAGGAGUCGUUACUCGCAGAAGAAGCAACGGCUAACUCCGUGCCAGCAGCCGCGGUAAUAC